rnacentral:rRNA from 1 species
GACGAACGCUGGCGGCGCGCCUAACACAUGCAAGUCGAACGAGCGAGGGAGAGCUUGCUUUCUUGAGCGAGUGGCGAACGGGUGAGUAACGCGUGAGGAACCUGCCUCAAAGAGGGGGACAACAGUUGGAAACGACUGCUAAUACCGCAUAAGCGCACGGUACCGCAUGGCACAGAGGGAAAAGGAGCAAUCCGCUCUGAGAUGGCCUCGCGUCCGAUUAGCUAGUUGGAGAGGUAACGGCCCACCAAGGCGACGAUCGGUAGACGGACAGAGAGGUUGAACGGCCACAUUGGGAGUGAGACACGGCCCAGACUCCUACGGGAGGCAGCAGUGGGGAAUAUUGCACAAUGGGGGGAACGCUGAUGCAGCGACGCCGGGUGAAGGAAGAAGGUCUUCGGAUUGUAAAGUCCUGUUGUUGGGGAAGAUAAUGACGGUACCCAAAAAGGAAGAGACGGCUAACUACGUG